rnacentral:rRNA from 1 species
UACGUAGGGCGCAAGCGUUGUCCGGAAUUAUUGGGCGUAAAGAGCUCGUAGGCGGCUUGUUACGUCGUUCGUGAAAACUUGGGGCUCAACCCCAAGCUUGCGGUCGAUACGGGCAGGCUAGAGUUCGGUAGGGGAGACUGGAAUUCCUGGUGUAGCGGUGAAAUGCGCAGAUAUCAGGAGGAACACCGGUGGCGAAGGCGGGUCUCUGGGCCGAUACUGACGCUGAGGAGCGAAAGCGUGGGGAGCGAACAGG